UAUAUUUGCAGACCCCAGACCAGUGAAAUACAGGAACAGUACUGGAUUUCCAGAUAGAACCAGAAACUUAGUAUUUAACUACUGUUCUAUGACGUCAGAAAAUUUGACCUAUCGAUAUCUUCAUUCCAAAGCAGAUAUGCAGACAGCUACAUUAGAUCACGAUAACCUUGAGAAGCCUAUCACUGAGUACUGAAUAGACAGUGCUUCACAAGUUACAGAAAGAGAAGCAGCUGCAAUUGAAGAGAGAACAAGAGGCCAGUCAUCAUCAAAGUCUUGGUUUGAAGAGCGUAAAUGGCGAUUGACCUCUUCUAGAUUUGGUGACAUUUGUUUAGCCAUACAUAGGA